rnacentral:rRNA from 1 species
GAUGAACGCUAGCGGCAGGCCUAAUACAUGCAAGUCGAGGGGUAGAGGAGAGCUUGCUUUCCUUGAGACCGGCGCACGGGUGCGUAACGCGUAUGCAACCUACCUUUAUCAGGGGGAUAGCCCGAAGAAAUUCGGAUUAACACCGCAUAAAAUCACAGUAUCGCAUGAUACAAUGAUCAAAUAUUUAUAGGAUAAAGAUGGGCAUGCGUGUCAUUAGUUAGUUGGCGGGGUAACGGCCCACCAAGACCACGAUGACUAGGGGAUCUGAGAGGAUGACCCCCCACACUGGUACUGAGACACGGACCAGACUCCUACGGGAGGCAGCAGUAAGGAAUAUUGGUCAAUGGAGGCAACUCUGAACCAGCCAUGCCGCGUGCAGGAAGACGGCCCUCUGGGUUGUAAACUGCUUUUAUUCGGGAAUAAACCUACUUACGUGUAAGUAGCUGAAUGUACCGAAGGAAUAAGGAUCGGCUAACUCCGUG